rnacentral:miRNA from 1 species
AACCACAGCCAAGGGAAGGGGCUUGGCAGAAUUGGCAUGUGGGGUGGGGGAGGUCGUGUUGAGUUUGACUCUACUCUGG